CGGUAAGAGCGCACCGCGCGCUUGGUAACAAGAGCGGCAGGGUAAACCCCACCUGAAGUAAGACCAAAUAGGGAUCCAUUGGUGUGACCCGCACUGGAUCCGGGUAGGUUGCUCGAGCCUUAUGGUGACGUAAGGCCUAGAAGAAUGACUGUCCACGACAGAAUCCGGCUUAUAGGCCAGCCAUUUAU
rnacentral:RNase_P_RNA from 1 species